CGGAGAGGGAAAAGUACCGCGUUGCUUCUCGGCCUCAAGGAUCCCCAAACUUCCUGAAGUCUGAUACCCUUGGGAGGCCUCGCCCAGGGCCUGGGAAUCCCCAAGCAGUCCCAGGAGAGAGCGAAAUCCAGAGGCCCGGAGCAGGCAGGCGCUGUGGAUAGUUCGUUUGGACUUCGUGCAUCCGCCGCGGCGCAAGGAAUGAACCCGGGAUAAACUAUGCUCUAGUCCCAGAACUUAGCAGAAUCGAAGAGCAGCAGCGGGGCUUAAGGCUUGCAUCUGCUGGUCCAAUUAUGAGCGCCAGGACAAAGCUAUGAAGACGGAGAAAGUAUCAGGCAUGGGUGCCCAAUUUUGUCUUCUCUCUCUUCAAGAGAAGUCAGAAAGGGUGUCGAGAGUUCUGGUUCUCCGGAAAGUCCUCAACGGGCCUUGGGUCCUCACUCGCAGGCCGAAGCCACGGACGUGACGCUGGUGAUUUUGGUGGAGUCGUCAGACCACGGCUGCAGGUUCUGCAGGGCGAAGAGCGAGGAGUUGUGCACGCACAGUGGGUCUGCAGGCAGCGGCUGGGCCAGGCUCUUCUGGAAGGCUUCCUGCUGCAGCUGCAGGAGGAUGCGGUUCGCCUGCUGCCUCUCGGCCUCACGUUCCUCUGCUGUCUGUCGCCUGCGUGGGGAACAAGCAAUUACUAGCCAGGACUCUAACCCUCUUCCCGCGCGCCUGCGCAGGCCCGGGAGCAAGCUCCCAGGAGACAGCCCCUUAGGCACCCCUCAGCUCUUUAUGGCCCCAUUAAGGCACUCUCCACUCUUGGGGGUCCUGACAAAAACAUUGGAAACCCCAAAAAUGGAUGGAGCAGAAAUGUCC
rnacentral:lncRNA from 1 species